GACAUGGGAAGCUUGCUUCCUAUGAAAUCGAGUGGCAAACGGGUGAGUAACGCGUAAACAACCUGCCCUUCGGAUGGGGAUAACAGCCGGAAACGGCUGCUAAUACCGAAUACGAUCUUUUCGUCGCAUGACGGAAAGAAGAAAGGAUGGCCUCUAUACAAAGCUAUCGCCGAAGGAGGGGUUUGCGUCCGAUUAGCUGGUUGGAGGGGUAACGGCCCAACAAGGCGAUGAUCAGUAGCCGGUCUGAGAGGAUGAACGGCCACAUUGGGACUGAGACACGGCCCAGACUCCUACGGGAGGCAGCAGUGAGGAAUCUUCCGCAAUGGACGAAAGUCUGACGGAGCAACGCCGCGUGAGUGAAGAAGGUCUUCGGAUUGUAAAACUCUGUUAUACGGGACGAAAAGACGGAUGCCAACAGUAUCCGUCCGUGACGGUACC
rnacentral:rRNA from 1 species